rnacentral:rRNA from 1 species
GUGGAGCCAACCUUGAAAUACCACCCUUUAAUGUUUGAUGUUCUAACGUUGCCCCAUUAUCUGGGGUGCGGACAGUGUCUGGUGGGUAGUUUGACUGGGGCGGUCUCCUCCCAAAGAGUAACGGAGGAGCACGAAGGUUGGCUAAGCAUGGUCGGACAUCAUGCGGUUAGUGCAAAGGCAUAAGCCAGCUUGACUGCGAGAGUGACGGCUCGAGCAGGUACGAAAGUAGGUCUUAGUGAUCCGGUGGUUCUGAAUGGAAGGGCCAUCGCUCAACGGAUAAAAGGUACUCCGGGGAUAACAGGCUGAUACCGCCCAAGAGUUCAUAUCGACGGCGGUGUUUGGCACCUCGAUGUCGGCUCAUCACAUCCUGGGGCUGAAGUAGGUCCCAAGGGUACGGCUGUUCGCCGUUUAAAGUGGUACGCGAGCUGGGUUUAGAACGUCGUGAGACAGUUCGGUCCCUAUCUGCCGUGGGCGUUGGAAGAUUGAAAGGGGCUGCUCCUAGUACGAGAGGACCGGAGUGGACGCACCACUGGUGUUCGGGUUGUCAUGCCAAUGGCAUUGCCCGGUAGCUAAGUGCGGAAAAGAUAACCGCUGAAAGCAUCUAAGCGGGAAACUUGCCUUGAGAUGAGUCUUCCCUGACUCUUUAAGGGUCCUAAAGGAACGUUUAAGACUAAGACGUUGAUAGGUUGGGUGUGUAAGCGUAGCGAUACGUUGAGCUAACCAAUACUAAUGAACCGUGAGGCUUAACCUG